ensembl:lncRNA
GGUCCAGUGUGUGUCCUUUUCAGCUUUUCCAAGAAACGUUAGCUGCCUGCCGGUUAUCAGUAGUUACUGUUUUGACUUACUUCUUUCGAGACGUACCUGUGGCUUCUUCACUGAUAGAAGCUGCAUCUUCAUGGCAAAAUAUGUAAUGGGGGACAUGCGCAUUAUAAAACUUGAGCACCGCCCUGUACUUCAUAGUAUCUCUUGCUACUCAGAAGCAAGAGGCCAAUAAGGAGAAAUACACCCAUCAGGGUUUGGGGAUGAGGAGAAAUGAAAUGUUAAGAGCGCAAAGAACAAGACAGUUUUUGAUAUUAAUAGUGCACCUAGAUAGUGCAAAUAAAAUUUGAGGAAAGUGUGUUAUUCUUGCCAUGACAUAUUGAGAUGUUCUGAGAUGUCUGUUUUGUAAAAAGAUGGGACUUUGCCAUAGCCUGUUCUCUUUGAUUGGGAUGGGGAAGCACGGUUUUGCUUAUUAACAAAAACGAGGUGAUUCCAUUCCUAUUCCAGUUCCCCUUAUGAUGGAUAUCAAUGAAAAGAAGAAUAAAUCCUGGCAUUUAAAAAUAAAUAUCCUGUGAAAUAACUCUCAGGUGGAAACCCAUCUUAGCACACACAAUUAAUUAGUGCACCCACUGCAUUUCAAUCAACUUACAGCACUAAAAAUUAAUACUUUCAAAGAGUCUUUAUUGUUCUUAGCGUUCCAGUGUCUUCAAAGUCAAAGUGUAGUGCUUCUCUUACUUAGGAGAGGUUGUUGGAGAUCUGAAAAUGCAUCUCAAAUGGGAUCCCAAACUGAGCAGAGGGUUCAGAAACAGUGCGUGGUAUCUAAACUUGCAGAACAGGAACAGUUUCCACUUCUGAUGAAUUGAGACUGUGUAUAGUGGACUUGUCAUGCAGCAUCUUCUGCAAACUGAACUGUCUUUAAGCUAUCACUGCAUGGCUACUGCCCCCUAGUUUAAUGCAGUACGAGAUGACGAUUUUGUGGAGCUCAGUUUGAGUUCAGGUCCCCAACUUUGAGCACUUUUCAAUAGAAGUUUUGCACCACGUUGCCUCUAUGCUGAAAGAUGACACUGGAUACCUUCUGCCUUUGCUUUGGCUAAAAAUUUACUGGUGCACCAGUGUCAGUUCUAAAAGAGAGAACAUAGAGACAGCUCAGGAAGUGGAGGCAUGCUGAGGGUGAGGAAGAGGUGGGCUUUUCCAACCAGGAGCAACAGAAGAAAAGUGACCAGUGCUAACUGUAUGCAGUGCUGAGACGUAGUGGUUGUGCGGUGGGGAGAUCUGAUUUAGAAGCUGUGGAUAAAUGUUUAGGAGUGGACUUUUAAGUCCAUCCCUGGACAGGACAGUGUUGCUUUCUAGUCACAAUAGCUUGCUUUAUGCCCUAAAGAUAUUGUCUACUAUCUGCUUUUGCCCAGGAUGCAUGAAUAUAUUCCCGUUCUUGCUCCUGUAUUGAUUUUUCUUGGCUAACUUAACAUGCUAAUUCCUAAUACUGGUCAGGAAAAGCCAAAGAGAUUAGAAGUUCACUUCUGUUCAGCCAGAAGGGUAGAUACAUUUCCUUCUGCUUCUGUGGAGACAGUUAUGCUUGGCAAAGAGUAGUGAGCAAUUUGUCAGCAUAUCCCGAAUGUGAUAGAUAAGUGAAAAAUCCCUUCUAAACUUUUCUGUAAAGUUAAGAUGAGCCAAGUAGGAUGAUUUGCAUAAUUUCCUUACCCCAGAAUAGGAUUCAUCCCUACCCUCUUCCUCACAGUUCUCUUUCAUGCAGCCAGUUCUGGAAAGCCAGCAGUUGGCGAGAUGCUACCUAUACAGUAAUCAUAUGUAACCCCAAUUUUCCUCUUUUUAAGGGUAUAAAAGACAGUAAUCUAAUGGUUCCCAGCCCAAAGCCUUUUUUUUUUUUUCUUUUUUUCUUUUUUUUCUUCCAGUACACUUAGUAAAGUAAAAUGCUUAUAAUAAGUCUAACAGCUACCACAGUUUUCUGUGCUGUGUCCUAUCAUUUUGGUCUCUGAGCUCUACAUAGAAGGAGAACAGGAGAAAAGGAAACAUCUCAAAAUGCCAUUGUAUAUUUAGCUUAUAGAAA